rnacentral:misc_RNA from 1 species
GAUGAAGAACGUAGCGAAAUGCGAUACGUAAUGUGAAUUGCAAAUUCAGUGAAUCAUCGAGUCUUUGAACGCACAUUGCGCCCCCUGGUAUUCCGGGGGGCAUGCCUGUCCGAGCGUCAUUGCUGCCCUCAAGCACGGCUUGUGUGUUGGGCCCCGUCCUCCGAUCCCGGGGACGGGCCCGAAAGGCAGCGGCGGCACCGCGUCCGGUCCUCGAGCGUAUGGGGCUUUGUCACCCGCUCUGUAGGCCCGGCCGGCGCUUGCCGAUCAACCCAAAUUUUUUAUCCAGGUUGACCUCGGAUCAGGUAGGGAUACCCGCUGAACUUAAGCAUAUCAAUAAGCGGAGGA